GACUCAUUAGCUUAGUUGGUUAGAGCAUUGAACUAAUAACUUGAAAGUCAUAGGUUUGAAUCUUGCUUGGGUCA
rnacentral:tRNA from 1 species